CUGACACACUGUGAGGGUAGUGUGGUAGCUGGAACACUGUGAGGGUAGUGUGGUAGCUGGAACACUGUGAGGGUAGUGUGGUAGCUGGAACACUGUGAGGGUAGUGUGGUAGCUGAACACUGUGAGGGUAGUGGUAGCUGGAACACUGUGAGGGUAGUGUGGUAGCUGGAACACUGUGAGGGUAGAUUGUGAUACAUCAUUGACAAUAUGCCAGAUGUUUCCCAACCCAACUAUUCAAACCAACAAAUACCAACAAUACAUAUAAGUAAAACUUUGAUAAAUCGGAUUUCAAUAUAUCGGAAUUAUAUUUUCUUGCUUUGCAAUGCUCUGGUCACCAGAGAUACUAAAAAAAAAGUUAAGAUAUGUGGAAGAUUAAUAAAAAAUUUAUCAUAGGAACGACACUUACUGAAUACUGUACAGUGGUCUAAUGAGACUUGCUACAGGCCUACUGAGAUUUAAGACACUUGAGUAUGUAACAGGCCGGCUGAUAGGUGUUGUCACAUUCAUCAGGUCUAUUUAUUUAGUGAUUCAGUAUUAUAUUCUCCUAUGAUUGGACUCUUAUGGU